rnacentral:rRNA from 1 species
UACAGAGGCCUCGAGCGUUAGGCGGAAUCACUGGGCUUAAAGCGUGUGUAGGCGGAUUCCUAAGUACCUUGUGAAAUCCCACGGCUCAACCGUGGAACUGCUCGGUAUACUGGGUAUCUUGAGCCACUUAGGGGCGACCGGAACAAAUGGUGGAGCGGUGAAAUGCGCAGAUAUCAUUUGGAACGCCAAUGGUGAAAACAGGUCGCUGGGAGUGUGCUGACGCUGAGACACGAAAGCCAGGGGAGCAAACGGG